rnacentral:rRNA from 1 species
AUUGAACGCUGGCGGCAGGCUUAACACAUGCAAGUCGAGCGAAGAUGAGGUGCUUGCACCUUAUCUUAGCGGCGGACGGGUGAGUAAUGCUUAGGAAUCUGCCUAUUAGUGGGGGACCACAUUCCGAAAGGAAUGCUAAUACCGCAUACGUCCUACGGGAGAAAGCAGGGGAUCUUCGGACCUUGCGCUAAUAGAUGAGCCUAAGUCGGAUUAGCUAGCUGGUGGGGUAAAGGCCUACCAAGGCGACGAUCUGUAGCGGGUCUGAGAGGAUGAUCCGCCACACUGGGACUGAGACACGGCCCAGACUCCUACGGGAGGCAGCAGUGGGGAAUAUUGGACAAUGGGGGGAACCCUGAUCCAGCCAUGCCGCGUGUGUGAAGAAGGCCUUAUGGUUGUAAAGCACUUUGAGCGAGGAGGAGGCUACUGAGACUAAUACUCUUGGAUAGUGGACGUUACUCGCAGAAUAAGCACCGGCUAACUCUGUGCCAGCCGCCGCCGUAAAAC